rnacentral:rRNA from 1 species
CCUACGGGCGGCUGCAGUGGGGAAUAUUGCACAAUGGGGGCAACCCUGAUGCAGCGACGCCGCGUGAGUGAAGAAGUAUUUCGGUACGUAAAGCUCUAUCAGCAGGGAAGUAAAUGACGGUACCUGACUCAUAAUCCACGACUAACUACGUGCCAGCAGCCGCGGUAAUACGUAGGGAGCAAGCGUUAUCCGGAUUUACUGGGUUUAAAGGGAGCGUAGACGGGAUGCUAAGUCUGGAGUGAAAUCCCAUGGCUUAACCAUGGAACUGCUUGGGAAACUGUGCAGCUUGAGUGCAGGGGAGGUAAGCGGAAUUCGUAGUGUAGCGGUGAAAUGCGUAGAUAUUAGGAGGAACACCAGUGGCGAAGGCGGCUUACUGGACUGUAACUGACGUUGAGGCUCGAAAGUGUGGGGAGCAAACAGGAUUAGAUACCCCAGUAGUC